rnacentral:rRNA from 1 species
AAGUCGAGCGAACGGACGAGAAGCUUGCUUCUCUGAUGUUAGCGGCGGACGGGUGAGUAACACGUGGAUAACCUACCUAUAAGACUGGGAUAACUUCGGGAAACCGGAGCUAAUACCGGAUAAUAUUUUGAACCGCAUGGUUCAAAAGUGAAAGACGGUCUUGCUGUCACUUAUAGAUGGAUCCGCGCUGCAUUAGCUAGUUGGUAAGGUAACGGCUUACCAAGGCAACGAUGCAUAGCCGACCUGAGAGGGUGAUCGGCCACACUGGAACUGAGACACGGUCCAGACUCCUACGGGAGGCAGCAGUAGGGAAUCUUCCGCAAUGGGCGAAAGCCUGACGGAGCAACGCCGCGUGAGUGAUGAAGGUCUUCGGAUCGUAAAACUCUGUUAUUAGGGAAGAACAUAUGUGUAAGUAACUGUGCACAUCUUGACGGUACCUAAUCAGAAAGCCACGGCUAACUACGUGCCA